UUCACAAAUAAAAUAUAUUAAAAAUUAGUUGAGAAACACGCUGGGCUAAGAAAUCGAUAUUGAAAGUGUUAUCUAUAAAUUUUGCGCAUAAUAAAUCCAGAAAAGUUUAUUUGAAACAAUCUUGUUUUAUUUAAUCAACGGCCUCUUGACAGUAUUUGCUACAGCCGCACUGGCACUUAAGCGGGGAUCACUUAGCUUUCUAAGUGACAACUUUUAUAACGUAGAAACGAAUUGUCCGUGCAAACGAUCACCAGAGAUCUUUUAAUACAAACAUAUUUUUUAUCUCUUUGUUUUGAGCUGCGGCUAUAUCUUACGCUUUAUUUAAUCGAUUGAAAUGUAUUUCAAAGUAAAAGUAUUGCCAUUUUUGUCAAAAAAUUGUCCUUUGAGUCGUUGUUACCAUUGUAAAUAGUCUACAUAUAUAUGUAAAACAAAAUUCGGCAGCACUCAGCAAGCGGCGAUAGAAUUUUCAAUGAAGUAUUCGCAUACUCUACACGAAUUCAACUAGUUAAAUUUGUUGUUGUUUUUACAUGUAAAAUUUUUGAUAAGCAAGCAGCGAACAUUUGAUACUUUCGCAAUUUAUUCGUUUGGAGGAUGGCCAGGAACGAUUCUUUUACAUGUGGCUUGAGCGCUCAAGCAGCUCACGACUUUCGGUCUUAGACCAAGUAUCCUCUGGGUAGCCAACUUAGGUACAUUUGAAGGCGAGCUGAGAAUGAUCCACCCCAUAAAAAUCUGAACAAUGGAAAGGAAAUCACAGCCUCGAAUGAGAAACCCAAUUUUAAUGACAACCACCUCAAACGUUUUGAGGACUACGAUUUAAAAGCAUACUCCUGAAAGAUCCGGUUGUUUAAUUCUGAAGGUGCCUCUGACCACCUAGUUGAUGUCCACGUAAGAAUAAAGGUUGACAUCACCGCCGUUCUAGAAAGGCUAUGGCCGGGCCAUGGAUUUCGACGAGUAGGUCUUGUGACAUUUACUACAGCGGCCAAAUAAAGGAGAGCAAAUUCAGUGUGAGACUCGUGAUGGGAGUGCGACUCAGUCGUCGAUCCCUGCCAUUUAUUCCUGUAGUUGAACGACCAGCCGCAAUCCCAAAAUGUGGUUUUCGCCCCGACGGUAGAGAAGGACGACAUGACCAAAGAAAGAGACUGCUCCGCGCCUAGAAGUAUGAACUGGACCGUCACUCUGUACCAGGUGAGGGGAUGAUAUAUCGAGCACAUAUAACAUGACGGUAUUUCUACCAAGAUGCGCCGGCAAAACAUCGGAGUAUGUCUUUGGUCUGCUGAAAGCGCGGAAUGAGGGCUUAAGCACCUCAACUUGGAGGAUCAUCAGCAGCAGCGAUGAGGAAGCGGGGCUAGGACUGAACAUUGGUAUCGAUGAAGCCCUAUGUCAUAAUCCGCCAAAAAGAUUACCGGCUGUUCUGCAGGUACAGCACAAUUGUGAUACGACCCUGAAAAAAAGUGUACGAAAUUAAAGGAUGACAAAACCAAAACGAUUGCCGAGGUUAGUACUCCGCCCGUUCCCUCAUCUAGCUUUGGGUGCGCUGCACCAGUCAAUACUGAGGAGCAGUCUGAUGGGAGUGAUCAAACCGCACUGCCAACUACCCAAAAACUGUUGGAAGGACUUGUUUUGGAGGCCAUGUAGGUUAACAAGACCUAUGAGGUGAAGGAGGGUAUGGAGGUUGACAAGACCAGCGAGGAGAAGGAACCACAUCUAGAGGAGCCGGUUCUAUGAUCCCACCCCUAAUGUCGAUAGCUCAAGUUAUCCUACACAGAGCUAAGACAGGUUCAUGUCGGAUAGCUAUGGUGCCCUCCUAAUACAGGAACCAUGGGCUUUUAAAGAAGAGGUAAAAAGCCUCACUGAAAACAACAGGAAGAUAAUUUGAAAUCUCCAAAGAUAUUGACUUUUUUUGUCUUUCAGAGUUCCUAACAAGAGACCUUGUAGCAGUGCAGGCUAGCUGUGGUCUUUUCUUCAGCUUACUUUCCGGGUGAUUCGUAAGUGGCACCAGCAGCUGAAGUGCAGAAGCUGGUUGAAUACUGCAGCUCGACAAAUCUUGCCUUGGUACUAGGCUGCGAUGCGAACGCACACCAUUGUGAGUGGGGGAAAAGUGACUGCAACAUGAGGGGUGACUCUUUAUUAUAAUUUAUAGUCGAGAGUAAUCUAGAAAUAAGCAAUGUGGGUUGUAAGCCAACAUUCGUCACUACCCAGCAAGACCAUGGGUACUGAAACUCCAACACAUUCAAAGAAAUUUUAAUAACACCUCUACAUACACACAUAUGCAAAAAAGAGCAAAAUGAGCAUAAACAUUUACCUCAACUCUUCUCUCGUACAGCACCCUGAAUGAUAGAUAGAAACAACCAAAGUUCUCAUGUUUGAACAAGUUUGGUUUUUAAUUAUAUCAUGGCUGCUUGUCAAGUAUUAUUUUGCGUGUUUUAUUUAAAUCAGUGAUUUGCAGCCGAAGUUUAAAUUAUUGAACCACACAUUUCUAAAUAAGUAAAACGUAAAAUAUGAGUUUUCUAAAGCUAAAAUAUGGAAUUGAAGAGGGUGAUACAGUAAUACUUCAUAUCACUGUAAAUGCGAUGUACGCAAUAGAAGCUACUCCAACAAUAGUCAACAAAAAGGGCGAAAAUACGAAAUACGAAAAUAAUUGUUGAAUAGAAGAAUAUAAUCUUGACUUAAGUUGCAAUUAAUUUCUCAUACAGAUAUUUCAAAACACAUACGGCGCGUUAAAGGUACGCAACCUAAUUGGUGUCACUUAUGGUAGCAGCGAAGAACUCUCGAAGGGAUGGGAGUAUGUGCAGCAAGAAAAUUCAGAAUUAUGGACGCAAACGCUGCUACAUCGAACACUAAUCAUUUACACACCAGAUAUUAGGUUGAAUGUCACAUUUUUUACGAGCGAUUAAACCACUUGGCCAACACAAGCACGUGAACAAUUGAAACAUUGUUUAGGUGCUUUUGUAACCGUUUAUCAUCGACGUGUGUCAACGGGGUUUUGCCAAUGAGCUAGUUGGACUUACCGGCACCUCAUUGGCCGUUCCAUUAGCAGCUAAAACAUAGAAAUCACAGGGAAAUUUAUGUGAAUGUUUGUGAUCAUAAAAAUUUAAAAACACCUUGUAUAUUUAAUUAGGGGGACUUUUUUGAUUCACUUUCACCUUAUUUCGUAUAUUGAAGAAAGUAACAAAUGACAAAAUUUCAUAGUUGGCUUUAUCUUGGCUUUGGAGAUCCUUUCCAAACCAUUUCCAACUGCUUCUACAAUUGCAAUUUGAUAUUGUUGCAAAAUCAGUGGUAUGUUAGUUGUUUAUUGGCGAUUCUUUAUGUGUCGCAAGAUGAUUUUAGGUAUGCGAUUAUCCAGAAAUAAUUGGAAGAGUCUGGCGUAAAUCACCUGCCAACAGAAUCAUGGCUCCACCAAAAAAGUUUUGGUUUUCGCGUAAAUCUUCUUGAAUAUCUGGAAAAUCUUCGCUAUAGCGUUACUUUUGGCGAUUUUGAAGACUGAAUUUGCAAUUUAGGAGUAAUUUCAAGGCCGAAUGUGCCGUUGGUUUGCCUACUAACAGAAUUUCAAGAAUUACAUCAGCCCUCAUAUGAUGAUCUUAUAUUGGACUUUAUGCCGAAUAUAUAGGUCAAAUUGUGUGCUUUCUUUAAAAAAAUUAAUGUUCGGUUGCACCCGAACUUAGCCUUUCCUUAUUUGUUACAAAUUGCUUAGGGCCAUCUUAUACAAUUAAACACUGACAAAAAUAUUUGAACAAAGCAAAAAUCACAACCUUCAAAACAUUAUUAUUUUUUGUUUUCUUUUUUCAUAUUUUUGUUGUCAACUCGAAUAAAAUUCUCAUAUUAUUAUCAUCUAUUAUAAUUUUAAAAUUACCCUACAAGACGGAGCUAACUCAUACACCACUACACAUGCAAAGUUUUUCAGCUUUUACCAACAUAUACACAAUAGUAACUUUUUCUCGGUAGUUAGAGUGGCAACAUUCAUUAACCCUAAUUUUUGUAUGUAUAAGAGAGAGAUGCACGUACUAUAAUGAACCGAUCAAAAUCUCCGCCAUGGCCGCCAUUCAUAUGAAAAGAAAAUUUGAAGUGAGUGGAUGUAAGUGCGUAUUAAUAAUUUGUUACUGAUAUUAUUUUAUUUUUAUAGUAAAUUUUCUGUUCAUAGAGCGGUACUAUAUUUGACUGGAUGCUGCAGCUUAUUUUAAAGGAAUAUAACUGAAGAAAAUGGUCUCGGAAGCCAAAGCGAGCUGCAACACACAUCUGAUAUUUGCAAACUUCGGAAGAAAAACUAAAGCUUAAGCUGGAUACCACCGAUAUACUCCCAUAUAGGAAGGUAGCUAUACUUGGUAUGGGUGCGGGGAAUCCUACCAGCAGUUCUUCGAGGCAUACAACGGCAACCGCUCAUGAAUCGUACAAUACCAAUUCGAAUUAGAAUUCGACGUAUGAUGGAAGCAGCAUUCAUAGUCCUUUGUGUUAGAAAGUAAUAAAAAGCAUGCACCCAGAAAUACAACACAAAAUAUGCUACAAAACAGAGUUGGUAUCAAUAUUGCCAUGCUUAUAAUAUUGGUGGAUAAUCGCCACAUGGUGUAACAAGUGUAGCAGCAACAACAAAUAAUACAUAUUAAAAUUCACAACAAAAGUCUAAAUCGCACAACGCAACCGGCAAAUAACAAGGCAUCGGAUGAUGUACAACAAAGUACAUCGGACAUUUGGAGUAGUAGUUUCACUACUUAUUUUCGACGUGCUAAACACAGAGUCUCCUAUAUUGCCCUUGGAUCUACACAAUGGAUAGUUAACAUAAUAACAGAGCUCAAAAAAACAAAAAACGCAGAUGUUGUUUAUCCUGCUUCUGUUUUGACUAUGCUAAACUAAUAAUCAAUAUUAUGAUUGUUAAUUUAUAAAUUUUGAACGUUCGUAAUAGCACUAAAUUUAUUAAUCUAUAUGUGAAAUAUUGUUAAAUUAGCAUCUAUAUACAAAUGAAUGUACGAAUAUUUGUAACAAUCGUAAUAGUAGUGAAAUUUAACUUGUAUUGUAU